GGGGCUGAUUUGGUUUCGACAUUUAAAAUUAAGUAGUAUAUGAAUCAGGUCGAAGCAUGCACUCUUCGUAAAAAUCUGCAACUUAUAAAUUAAAGGCUAACAUUAUUACAUCUUUUAUCUUAAACAUUGCAAAUCGUAAUGCUCGCGCAUUACAAUUUGCUUUUUAAUUGACUUUUUAGUAAACUUUUAUUCACUAGAUCUAGAAUUUUUUCUAGAUUUAGUUUAGACUAACUUUAUAAUUCUUUGUUCUCUGCAACUAUACCUGUGAACGAGUAUAUAACAUAAUUCUAAAUGGACAUGGGUUCAAUUCCCAUCAGUUCC
rnacentral:tmRNA from 1 species